AUUGAACGCUGGCGGCAGGCCUAACACAUGCAAGUCGAACGAGAGGCGGACGGGUGAGUAAUGUCUGGGAAACUGCCUGAGGGAGGGGGAUAAGUACUGGAAACGGUAGCUAAUACCGCAUACCAUAAGAUGUGCCCAGAGGGGAUUGGCUAGUUGGUGGGGUAACGCAUCACCAAGGCGACGAUCCCUAGCUGGUCUGAGAGGAUGAACAGCCCAACUGGAACUGAGACACGUCCCAGAUCCCUACGGGAGGCACAAGUGGGGAAUUUUGCACAAUGGGCGCAAGCCUGAUGCAGCCAUGCCGCGUGUAUGAAGAAGGCCUUCGGGUUGUAAAGUACUUUCAGCGGGGAGGCGUUACCCGCAGAAGAAGCACCGGCUAACUCCGUGCCAGCAGCCGCGGUAAUUC
rnacentral:rRNA from 1 species